rnacentral:rRNA from 1 species
UACGUAGGGGGCAAGCGUUAUCCGGAAUUAUUGGGCGUAAAGAGUGCGUAGGUGGUUACCUAAGCGCAAGGUUUAAUCUUGAGGCUCAACCUCAUUCUGCCUUGCGAACUGGGCUACUUGAGUGCAGGAGGGGAAAGUGGAAUUCCUAGUGGAGCGGUAAAAUGCGCAGAUAUUAGGAGGAACACCGGUGGCGAAGGCGACUUUCUGGCUGACAACUGACGCUGAGGCGCGAAAGCGUGGGGAGCAAACAGGAUUAGAUACCCUGGUAGUCCCU